UGACCAUUAGCUCUAAAACUAAAAGAAAAGAAGAAGAAAAAAAACACACAGAAAUUAUCUUCACCAAAAAAGAGUUACAGAGACAAAUAAUGGCAUCACAAAAAUUUCAAUUUGUUUUUAUUCUCUUAAUUAGUAGUCUUCUUUCUUCUCAGACAACUGUUUUUGCACAAAGAUGUUAGAUGUCACUACAAAGGCCCUUGUAAAACUGAUGAAGAUUGCAAGAGCAUAUGCACAGGUCCUGGAGAAGAUCCAACGUUUUUAAUAUGCAUUAAAAACCCUCCAAUUAAUCACAGAUGUUGUUGUAAAUUUAAUGGUCUAAAGACAGAUAGUUCUGUUCUAGAAUAAUACAUCCAUAUAUUUGUGUCAUCACCUUGAUCAAAAAAUAAAAUAAAAUUCACCUCUGUAU